rnacentral:lncRNA from 1 species
UCAGCAUCCAAGCUGAAUCUCUAGUUACCAUGGAUGGAGAUGACCUUUCCUGGCUAUGCUAGCCAGCUUUCUGACCUCAAAAAAAACACCAGCAUUUAAGCAAGCCUGUGGCGCUGUUACACCUUGCGCACUCCACAUCAAGAUUGGCUCUCUCUACGCUCUCUUUUGAACAUUACAGGCCAAGAAUCUGAAUCUUUGAGUUUCCUUCCCCCACACCCAAUCCACCUGCUGAAGCCUAGUGACCAGCUGAACAGAACGGAGAGGUAGAAGAUUCAGGAGCUUCUUCGGAGCAGAAGGCUUCCUGGGGAAAAGUAUGUGCUUGAGGCGGUACUCCUUCAGGCACUGCACAUUGGCCUACAGUAAUUCAUUCAGUGGAUUUGUCGCCUCCUUGGGUCCACAGAGAUGCUGAAGUCCUUUCCAUUCUGUUUUCAUUUACCACUAGGCAACCACAUACAGUGAUCUGGAACAAGAUGGGAGACGUUCUCAUGCUUUAUCUGGAUGCUAGUAUCAAGACAGCCAAGGAGCUGUGUGUGGCCCGUUCUACCAGGAGCAGUGAUAGUGUGUUAGCCCACAGGUGCUGCUCCAUCUGAAAGGUUUGCUCCUUGC